UUUGUGUGUGUUGCUUGGAUUUCCAGCAUCUACAGAUUUUCUUGUGUUCUUGAGCUUUGAAAGCUUGGAUUUGAGCUUUCAGAAACUCACAGUCUUGGAGAAACAUAGCCUACAUGGAUAUUGCACCCGAAAGAAUUUGAGCUAUGAGCAGAAGGGACUGUAAAAUAUAGGUGGAACUGUGAAGACAUAGAGGAAUGGAAUGAGGAGACCAGAACUACUGCUUUGAGGGUAGAUUUAACUGAAGAGAGGACCAAUGCAGAAACAGAAUAGAACCUGUUAUAUCAUUACAGAACAAUGCUGUUGAAAAUCAGGAUUCAGAAAGUGGUACUAGGGAAUUAAUAAUGGAAGACAAUAAUAUUGUCUUAUGAGGAAAGACUGGGCACACCGUUUCUCAGAACUGCAUGGGUGGACCCUGUUUUUCAAACGUUCGCUUUACGACAGCUCGCUGUUACGGAAGACCUGCAUUAGUACCUGUUUUCGCUAACCAAAGAGGACUUUUGCUUUUAUGAAAAAGACACCCGCUUUAUACGUGUGUUUAUCCUGAGAAAGACUACAAUGACAGUGAAGCUUGUGCGGGCAGUUGUGUGCACAUGCGUAUCUGCUUGUCUGGGUUACUGUUGAAGAUGAGAGAUAGGAGAAACAUGUGCCACCCAAUGAGGAUGAACAAUUCAUGGGAGAAAAGAGAAGAUGCUGGAGAGAAGAGGUCAGAGGAGUGAGACCAUGAUUCGAUGAGGUGGGAGAUCGAAGGAGGAUCGGCGAAGGGGAAGCCGUGAGCUCCAAUGUGCACAUUGGACAGUUUCAUUUAAAAUGGGCCCUUCUCUUGUUUUUGAUUUUUCUUUACUAACCCUUUUGUCAAAUUAAGAAUUACAAAGCUAUAUCUUUUAACUGUAUGCAGUGUACUGUCUGUUAUUUCGUGGUACUGAUUUGUAACAGGGUAACACAUCACGC